rnacentral:rRNA from 1 species
AGCUCCAAUAGCGUAUAUUAAAGUUGUUGCAGUUAAAAAGCUCGUAGUUGGAUUUCUGGCAGGAGUGACCGGUCACGCACUCUGUGCGUGAACUUGUGUUGUCUCUGGCCAUCCUUGGGGAGAUCCUGUUUGGCAUUAAGUUGUCGGGCAGGGGAUACCCAUCGUUUACUGUGAAAAAAUUAGAGUGUUUAAAGCAGGCUUAUGCCGUUGAAUAUAUUAGCAUGGAAUAAUAAGAUAGGACUUCGGAACUAUUUUGUUGGUUUGCGUUACGAAGUAAUGAUUAAUAGGGACAGUUGGGGGUAUUCGUAUUUCAUUGUCAGAGGUGAAAUUCUUGGAUUUCUGAAAGACGAACUACUGCGAAAGCAUUUACCAAGGAUGUUUUCAUUAAUCAAGAACGAAA